UACGGGGGGGGCAAGCGUUGUUCGGAAUUACUGGGCGUAAAGGGCCCGUAGGCGGCCAACUAAGUCAGACGUGAAAUCCCUCGGCUUAACCGGGGAACUGCGUCUGAUACUGGAUGGCUUGAGAUUGGGAGAGGGAUGCGGAAUUCCAGGUGUAGCGGUGAAAUGCGUAGAUAUCUGGAGGAACACCGGUGGCGAAGGCGGCAUCCUGGACCAACACUGACGCUGAGGAGCGAAAGCGUGGGGAGCGAACAGG
rnacentral:rRNA from 1 species